rnacentral:rRNA from 1 species
GUGGGGAAUCUUGCACAAUGGGGGAAACCCUGAUGCAGCGACGCCGCGUGAGCGAUGAAGCCCUUCGGGGUGUAAAGCUCUUUCGGCAGGGAAGAUGAUGACGGUACCUGCAGAAGCAGCUGCGGCUAACUACGUGCCAGCAGCCGCGGUAAUACGUAGGCAGCAAGCGUUGUUCGGAGUUACUGGGCGUAAAGGGUGUGUAGGCGGCUCUCUAAGUUUGGUGUGAAAUCUCCCGGCUCAACCGGGAGGGUGCGCCGAAAACUGGAGGGCUAGAGUGCGGGAUGGGAGAGUAGAAUUCCUGGUGUAGCGGUGAAAUGCGUAGAUAUCAGGAGGAAUACCGGUGGUGUAGACGGCUCUCUGGACCGCAACUGACGCUGAAACACGAAAGCGUGGGUAGCAAACAGGAUUAGAAACCCGAGUAGUCC